UACGGAGGGUGCAAGCGUUAUUCGGAAUUAUUGGGCGUAAAGGGCGCGUAGGCGGUCUUUUAAGUCAGAUGUGAAAGCCCGGGGCUCAACCCCGGAAGUGCAUUUGAAACUAAGGGACUUGAGUAUGGGAGAGGGAAGUGGAAUUCCUGGUGUAGAGGUGAAAUUCGUAGAUAUCAGGAGGAACACCGGUGGCGAAGGCGACUUCCUGGACCAAUACUGACGCUGAGGCGCGAAGGCGUGGGGAGCAAACAGG
rnacentral:rRNA from 1 species